rnacentral:rRNA from 1 species
GAUGAACGCUGGCGGCGUGCCUAAUACAUGCAAGUCGAGCGAACAGAUGAGGAGCUUGCUCCUCUGACGUUAGCGGCGGACGGGUGAGUAACACGUGGAUAACCUACCUAUAAGACUGGGAUAACUUCGGGAAACCGGAGCUAAUACCGGAUAAUAUAUUGAACCGCAUGGUUCAAUAGUUAAAGACGGUUUUGCUGUCACUUAUAGAUGGAUCCGCGCCGCAUUAGCUAGUUGGUAAGGUAACGGCUUACCAAGGCAACGAUGCGUAGCCGACCUGAGAGGGUGAUCGGCCACACUGGAACUGAGACACGGUCCAGACUCCUACGGGAGGCAGCAGUAGGGAAUCUUCCGCAAUGGGCGAAAGCCUGACGGAGCAACGCCGCGUGAGUGAUGAAGGUCUUCGGAUCGUAAAACUCUGUUAUUAGGGAAGAACAAAUGUGUAAGUAACUAUGCACGUCUUGACGGUACCUAAUCAGAAAGACACGGCUAACUACGUG